ACCCAUAUAUUCCAAUGGACAGGAUAUCUGGCUUUCAUCUAGAAGAUCUGGGUUCAAAAUUCCCAUGGACUGGCUUUCAUCCGGAACAUCUGGGUUCAAUUCCCAGUAUGGGUU